UGGGCUGGACCCAGCCAGCCCGGCCCGGUCACUGGCCCAAGCCAGUGACCCGGCUGGGCAAAAACUAAAAAAACAAAAGCACGCGUGAAUUGAUCACGCGUGCGUGAACACUGGUGAAGGUAAUUAAAUUACCUUCACACAGUGUUCUUAUAACACUAACAAUUACAUUUUGAAAUGAAGAUACAAAGGGGAUGAAGUCAUACCUGCUUCUGGAGAAAACGUUUGCAACGCCGAUGAUGAUUCUUGCCUUUUGUCUCCCCUUGUCUUCCUUUUUAUGACCACUUGGGCGAGGACAAUUUCAAAGAUAAUUCUCGUCACUAUAUGUGCUGUCCUAUUGUUCUCUCCUUCUCUCUGUAUAUUUUUUUUUGCUCUGGUUUUUUACUUUGUUCUUUCCUCUGGUUUCUGGGUUGAUUUCUCGUUUUUUUGUUUCUCCCUCAGUCCUGCUCCCCUGCGAGUUUGCCUUUGCCCAGCUUUUAUAAGGCCAGAGAUCGAUUGGCGCUGUAACGGUCGCCUCCUAAAUGCCCUGUAACUGGUCGCCUUCCAUGAUCAAACGCAAGCGUUGCUGCCAACGGAUGAAACGUCUCUGCCUUAAUGGCGGAGCCGUUGCAGAGCAAGAAGACGGUGAACAGUCGCUGCAAUACGACUCCGUUUUCCAGUUCUAAAGGCUGCUUUCAAUUUGGUCCUUGUAAUUCUUGUAAUUUUGCAAUCAAGCCCCUGGUUAAAAUGUAAUUGGAUCCUUGCAUUUCCGUGCUAUUUUCAAGCUAGUCCUUGGAUUUUAA